UUUUUUUUUCAAGUGAAAUGAAUGUUCCCAUUUUGCCAUUGAAAUUGUGGGGACCUAAGACACAGUGUGCUUUUUUGACAUGAAAACUAAUAAAAAAUGAGUUCUGAGACUAAAUGGGCACAUUUUUAUUCAAUAUCUAAGACACUAUUUUGAUUGAUUUUAACCGUGAGUGACUGAAAUAGUGUUUAUUAAAAAUAUGAGGGACUAUUUUGACAAACUUCGGUAUAAUAAAGAUUGACCACUUUUUAAAGGAGUUUGGACAUUAUCCAUUUGGAAGUAUUACUAUUUUGAUCCUUUAUUGUUAUAAUUUUAUUCAAUUUACACUAUUUAGCUCGCUCCCAUAAGGAAUAUUCUUUCUGCGAUCUGCAAGGAAAAUCAAGGGAGCUAAUGGACGACUUGCAUGUGUGAACCACCAUGCACGUCACACAACAAAUUUUGCUCUUUUAUUAUUGGGCAAAAAAAAAUGGCGACCACUAAACUAUUUCUGACAUCUACUUCUAGCUACCAAACUAUUUCUUGUCUCAAUUUAAUCACUCAACUAAUUAAUCAAUACACCGUUGGUUAUUUCAUCGGAUUUUGCUCUUAGUUUUACAAAUAAACCAAACACAUGCAAAUCAAGUGCCAAAAUUUAAGGGUAAUCAUAUCCACUAAGUUUAUCAAUCCAAAUCUAAAAAGUCCAACAGCCACUAAUCUAUUCCCUUCGUACUCUUUUGGCCAUUCAAAUAUUUUUUGUUUCAAUAUAAUCACUAAAGUCUUAAAUCAAUAUACUAGCAGUCAUUCCGUCAAAUAUAUCUGUUAAUGCUAAGGAAUGAGUUCUAUGUGCAUUUCACAUACCCAAAACAGGACAAUUAUGUAAGGUCAAUUUUUUAGAAUUUUUCCCCGUUAAUAUUACAAAUGCAGGUAAUAUUAUAAUAAAGGAAAAAUUGUCAAAUUGGUCCUUUUCAUUUUUGAUAAAUUUUUUAGCCCCUCGCAAUUAGAAUUAGCUAAAAUAGUCCCUUAAAUAUUAAAAAAAAAUGCAUCCUUUUGGUCACAGAGCUCCUUUUGGUAAAUUCCUUCUUGUACCUUGAGAUUAAAUUUUAUUUAAUAUGAAUGACACAUAUUAUCUUGACGUCCAAAUAAAGGAGAUCAUUGUAACUUUUCAAAAACUUGAACGGAGCAACAUGAAAUUGUUAUAAACCUCAAAGGAGUUUUACAUAAAUACCCCACACGUUUACAAGCAGAUUUUAUCAUGCUAGUACCUUUAUAGUCGAAGAAAGCCAGUACAGUCAGUGCCACAUUGUUCCCUCUCCCUCUCUCUCGUUCUUCUCACAAGUUGUCUUGCGUGCUGCUUUGCUUCUCAGGACACGUUGAAGCUUUUGUUCUUUGCUAGCUAGGUAAUUAUUACAUGCCUGGCUCUCAAUUUCUCUGGUCCACUUCAUUAAUUGAUUUUUUUUUUUUGUAAAAAUUUUAGUGUAUCAAUUUCAGACGUUUGUUUUUCUUCGUUAUUGGAAAAUCCAGCAGCUGUUUGCAUGCUAAUAUAUGGGAUUUCUCUUUUGCUUAGAUCUGGAACACUUGCCGUCUAGCAGGAAAAAAUUAGCACCUGCAUAUUAUGUGACCCUGAAAAAAAAAAAACAUCUUUCUUUCUGUCCUCCAUUAGUUUGGCACUAAAACUUGAGUAAGGUUAACAGGAUUGUGCGGUACAACCAACAAUAAUGGAGGGGGAGAAGACGGAUACCGAGGGAAAGGUGGAGACAGAGAAGAUGAACAAGGAAUUUGCGAUGACAUAUGAUGUCCACUCUAAAAUGUUAGAGGAUCUAGUUGGGGAUCACUUCCAUUUGGGCUUCUAUGACUCUAGCUCCGUUAUCCCUGGUUCUGAUGUCAAUUCUGCUCAGACUCGCAUGAUCGAGGCGGCCCUCCGUUUUGCCUCUGUAUCAGGUAUAAUAAGCGUCGCACCUCUCUCAAGAUAUGCAUUCGCAGUUUGUGUGGAGUUUUCUUCUCUUUCUCCAAGUACAAAUGCUGUAGUUAUGGCACAAAACUGUAUUUUGCUGCAGAGCUAAGCUUUUUUUACUGGGGUGCAGAUUAAUUCCAAUUAAUUUCGAUUGUGACUUCGUUGAGUCAUCUACGACGGUCAUCGUUUACCGUGAGAUAAAGGCACUUAUUUUAAAAUAUUUCUAAUAGAUUGAUAAAAUAUUUCUAAUAGUAAAGGCACUUAUGUAACUUUGCACCCAAAUGAUAUAAUUGAACACUAAAUAAGUGCUCUUGUCCGAAUCUCUACCACGUGAAAUACUUCUCAAUAAGUCGUCAUAAUCUUAAGGAUUAAUUUUAUAAACACUGUCAAUAUAUACAUUAUUAUUAUUAAAUAUAUAACACAUGUGUAAAAUUUAAAUUUAAUAAUAUAUACUUACAGUGUAUAUAAAAUUUAUUCUAAUAUUAAACAGGCACUUAAUAUUAAAGAAUUAUCUAAGAUGGAAUAUCAUUUCUCUGCCAAUUGCGCUAGUCAUGCAUCUUGUUCUUAACCUUCGAAAAAUCAACACAUAAGUUUAUUGGUAUCACUCAAGAUUGGGUCAAUUUCAAUCAUAUUUCCUGAGAUUUGACCUUUGACCUAAUUAAAAAGUAUGCCUUGUGAUUUGGUCAGAUUACAGUCGAAUACCCCAGUAGCAAAACAUUUGUCAAAUACCCAGCCUUCACUUUAAAUACAAUAUUGGCAAUUAAACGCAGCCGUCACUUUAAAUCUAUUAUUUCCUUUCAAGUUAAAUACUUCUUCACAUGUAGGAAAGAAAAUAAAACUUUCAGUUAAUGACCAAAAAACACCAUUUCAAAUUUUUUUUUUUUUUUUUUAUCAAUCAGCAACUUCUAUACUAUCCUACCCUACAGGAGAGAAAUUCAACUAGAUUGUAUAAGGGACUAGAGAACAAGCAAGUUCAUCUAAACCAAAGAGGUGCUCUGCCAUAUUUUUUGAAUUUUUUUAACUAUAAGGUGUGGGUGUAGGGUUUAAAGUUCCGACGUACAAUCUAAAGAGGAAUUUUAAAUCCCUUACUUUGAAUUGACCAAAUUUUACACUCAAUAGUACAUGCAUAUGUAAACGGGGAUAAUCAAUUCGGGAAGGAUAAAAACAGAAGCAGCAUUUUGUUUUUCUUUUUUCUUUUGGUCUUUACUUUUCUUUCUCAUUUUAGUAGCUUUAGUUUUUCUUUCGCUACAUUUGCAAUGGAUUUAGGGGUAUUUGGCUAUUCAAAAGGUUAGAUUACAAAUUGGUCAAAUUACAGGAUUAGUUCUAUAAUUUGGACAAGCCUUAUGCAAUGUGAAUAUACAUUAAGCAUAGAAUUUGUUUUUUUCUGGGCAAUCAUAUGCAAUUUCUGUAAUUGGUACUCUGGGUUUAGGUCAUGCACACAUUGAAAAAAGAAAUGGUUUGAUUUCCUUUCAAUGUCUAUUUACUUUCCUAGUGAAACAUCCUCCUCAUAAUUUCUAGUUUUUUCUCCUCUCCAACUUUGUCAUUUAAUAGUCAACCAACCGGCAUUAUUUAUCAUGAAAUAAUAUGCAGAGGAUCCAUCUAAGAAACCAAGAAACAUACUUGAUGUUGGAUGCGGUAUUGGUGGCAGCACCAGGUACCUAGCAAGCAAAUAUGGUUCUCAAUGUAAAGGCAUCACCCUUAGCCCUUUUGAGGCUGAAAGAGCUCGUGUUCUAACUGCUGCCCAAGGAUUAGAAAGCCAGGUCUGUAUUGAAAGAUUUGCAAGAAGUUAUCAAUUGUUAAAUCACCCUUUAUGCAAGUGCACAAUGAGUAAAAAUUUUCAUUCUUCCAUUUCUUAAGGAAUGAUGACUGAGUGCAUACUACUACUACUAUGGUUUUGAAAAAAUAUUGUGAAACUGAUGGUAGAUGAUUAUUUCAUGUAAAGAACACACGUCUUAGAUUUUCCCCAAUCUUUUAAACCAUAUAAAGCAAGAGAUGCAUUUUCAUAGAAUACUAGAUGCUAACCCAUGCACAUGCACAUAUUUAUAUUACCUGUUUAUUUCUAUGAGAAAGAUAAUAGACAAUGAAUGAAGUUACAUAUGAACUAAACAAAUUGUUCUGAGGAAAGUUAAAGGAAAAAUAUGUCAACAACAACAACAAACAAUUUCAAAGCGUGGAAGAAAAAAAGAAAAGUUUCAGCAUUCCUGAGGCUAGCUCGUGAAUGCUGCCAAAGCGUCCCCACUUUUGGUUCAAGAAAGCGAAACUGAUACUCCAAAGUUUCAAGAAUCCUAAUUUGUGAUAGUUUUGUUUUGAUUACCCAUCCUCACCUUUACUUUUUAUACACUAAAAAUGCAAAAUUUUUAAAUCCUAAAUUUUAGCGGCUAAAAUUAUCUCAUGAUAGAAUUGAAUUCAAAUAUGUAUUAUCAGUAAUCUUAGGUAAUGAUGAUAACUCUUGGAUUUGGAUACACACGUAUGUGCAUACAUAUAUAUAUACAUACAUACAUAUACAUAUAUAUAUAUAUAUAUAUAUGUGUGUGUGUGUACACAUAUGCACAUAUACACAUACAUCUAACUGUAUAAAAGCGGGAGUUGGGUUAUGAGUAGUAAUUCUUUGUCAAGUGGUUAUCAAGUAAUUUUCGGCAACUUUGAUGGCUUUUGUAUUUGUUGGUUUUGUUGACUUUUCGGGAACUCCAUUUGCAUCAGUCAUUGGCAGUUCCUCAUGUCAUUAGGAUUAGUCUUAGUAGUCCUUCAUUUUUUGCUAAUGCCAUUUCCUGUUUCAGCCUUACUCGGAGGCCAGAAGAUGCAUGUUAUAGUUGUAUGGUUUAUUUGUAAUUUAUUUGUUCUUUAUUCCUCUUUUUUGCAUCAUUUUCGCCUAUUGUGAUCCGCAGAGAUAGGCCAUCUUAGCUAUUCUUGAGUAUUAGUUUAGCCUUAGGUUUGUCUUAUUUUUCAGUUAUGCCAGUCCUUUUUUUCUUCGUUCAAGCUGCAUGCUAUAGUUGCUUGAUUGUUUGGUAAUUUUGUUGUCUUCUGACCCGAUUUUUUGUUGACUCAUUGUUCACUUUUGUGGAUGCCUCACUUUUUGUUUCUACAUGUUUCUUUAAUUUAGCGGAUAGUGAAAUAAAUUUGUUUGGAAAAGAAUGCACGCCUAAGUGGAUGCAGUGUUAAAUUUUCAUGUGAUAACUAUUGCUGUGACUAUGCAUGUAACCAUGCUGCGGACUGUCUUCCAUGGAAUUUCCAAAAAUUGAGCUGGACGGAAAAAAAAGGGCCGGCAUUUUCAUCAAAAGUUAAUGAAAUAGUUUAAAGUGCCAAAAGGUUUUAACCAAAAAUAGUUUCUAAUUUUGCUGAUUUUUUAAAAUGUACAAUUAUAAAGAUAUAUUAGUCUAUAUAUUUAUAUUUAGUGUGCAUAAUUAUUAGAAAAUUUUUAGUACCCUUAUUUUUAUUUUUAUAGUUUUCAUUCUAUUUAUAUGUGUGUGCUAAUUUAUGAGCUUAAUUUUUUUUUUUAUAAAAGAUAAUAUCUAAGGAUAUAAAAGGGGAGAGUUGGGUUAUGAAUAGUGCUUUUUGGUCAAGCGGUUAUGCUGCAAUUAUUGUUGGAUGUGGAGGCUAUUUUCGUCAAUUGGCUGUUUUGGUUAUUUCACGUUGGUGGUUUACUUUGUGAGGCGAUAAAUAAAAGUUCUGUGUGUGCUUGUUUUUCUAUGCAAUUUAAUACUCAUUGCAUUGGGUGAAGUGGUUGUCUACCAUGUUGACAAGAAACUUCUAAUUGCAUGAUUUCCAAAAAUUGAACCGAAAAAAAAGUAGAAGUCCAACAUUGUCAUCACAAGUAACGAAAAUUGGCUGUCAAGAUUUGGGACUAAAAAUGGUUUAUAAUCCUUCUACUAUUUAAGAUGCACAAUUAUUAAAAAAAAUAUUAGUCUAUAUAUACAUAUUAAAUGUAUAUAAUUAUUACAAAUUUUUUGAUGCCCCUUAUUUUUAUUGUUAGUUUUCCAUUCUAUAAGCAUAAAGUUAUUUCCGUCUUGUAUGUGAGCUAGAUGGUUAACUUAUUUCCUUUUUAAAAAAAUUAAUUUGUUAUUUUUCUAACAUAUUCGUAUUUAAUAUAUAUAAUUAAUAUAAAUUUUUUAACACAUUCAUUUUUCCUAAUGACUCUAAAUUGAAAAGCAAUGUGCUAUUUUUUUUAUUAUUUUAGUCAAACAUGUAACAUUAAUUAGAUUAUUUCUUACAUUAAAAAGCUAAAGUACUCUAAAUUUCAAACAAUAUAUAAUAUAAUUAUAUAUAUAAUACAAAAGGGAGAGUUACCCUAUGAAUGGUAUUUUUGGUCAAGUGGUUAUCCUGCAAUUAUCUAAUAAUAUAAAUGAAGAGUUGUCCUAUGAGCAGUGUUUUCUUGUCAAGUGGUUAUCCUACAAUUGUUAUUGGAUGUCGGGGCUAUUUUCAUCAAAUUGCCUGUUUUGUUUGUUUAAAGCAGGUAUAGUUUUGGUGCAUUUACGAGACAUGUUGAUCAAAUUAGUAAUUGGUGGUGUAAAAAGUGAAGCUUUUGAAAGUUGAUUUUUUUGUGGUUAAUUAUUUGCUUUUAAAGUGUCCUUUUUUUUUACCUAUGAAAGAAUUGAUAAAUUAUUGCUAGCUUUAGUGACUUUAAAAAUGGCCUUUAUUACUGUGACAUGAAAUAAAAUUGUUAAAUGUUCUGUAAAUGCACAAUUAACGAGGAAACAAUGAAUAAAUUAUUGUUGGUUUGACAUCAUAUAAUAUUGUUAAGUGUUCUGUAAAUGCACAAUUAUUGAGGAAACAAUUAAUAAACCAUUGUUGGCUUUAGUAACUUUAAAAAAUGGAUUUUAUUACUGUGAUAUGUGGUGAUUAAUUUAACAAUGCCAAGUUCUAUGGUUUAAGUGCUUAAUUGACUUGCCAAGUCUCCCUUUUUUGUGUCAACAAUGAUUAAUACUUUUUUGGGAAUGAUUCACUUCAUAAUUUUCUAAUUAUGCUAAAUCAAAUGCAAAAUAACCUUAUACAAUUUUCUAAUUUACGCUUAUGCAUUCUAUAUAAGCGCCCUCAUGCAUUCUAUAUAUUAUUGUUCUCAUGUAUUCUAUAUAUUUCAUAAUUGUCAACCUUUAAUAAAAACAAUAAUUCUCUAAUGAUCUGCAUGAAUUAGAUAAUAACAUAGAUGUAUACUAAUAAACCACACAAUAAAAAACAGUUAGCACGGGAAAUAUUAGCCCAUGCGCAGGCCGUCUCACUAGUAUAUAUAUGUGCAUAUGUGUAUAUAUAUGUAUGUAUGUAGAAUUAAUCUUCUAUGCACUAACUAAUAAUUUAUACACUACACUACAACAAAAAUGGCUUUUCCUGACAUGUCUAUAAGAACACUUGUUGGUUUGUGUCAUUAUAGCACUUUUAUUAUGACAUUUGUUAUCAACUCAAUAAUAUACACUCUAUUUUUUUUUAUUUUAUCUGAUAUAAGAAUAAUAAUGUGCCUUUAGACUACCUAUCAUGACACUUGAGAAAAUGUGAGAUAUAAAAAAAAAAAAAAGAAAAGGCACAAAACAACAUCAUAUAUAGUGAAUUGGCGGAAGAUUCAUUUGCUGUGAAAUAUUCAAACUUUCAAUUUGCCGGCCAAAACACUUAGUCAAAUUUUGCUUCUUUUCAUUUCUCUCACAAAAAACACUCUCCACAAACUAACUCUCUGCAAAUUAUCUCUCAGCCAAGUAGGGACGUUAAGACGGAGCUUUUUGUAGAUGGCGCAAGACGAUUGCAGAUGGGUAAAGGAAACCUGGAAAAUAAUAGACCAUCGAGGUACUAAAUGAGACUUUCUUCCACUUUCUUUCCUUUCACUCUUUCUGGCUCCCGUGACCAGUUAAAGUAAGGAAGAAUUAGCCACGGGAACUAUGAAAAGGGUUCCAGACUCUCCUUUCUAAGAGUAUCUCGCCUUUCCUAGCAUGGGGAGCGAUUACAACCAGGAUGUUAGAUGCCAAGAUCUUUUUUUUGCUAAAAAUACAAACAAUUUCUUCUUCUUUUUUGUGUUGCAUUUUCUCCUUCUAUUUUAUGAUCUUUAAGUUUUAUUAAAUUUUAUUGCCCAGAGUUUGACACUCAAAGGUUUUCACCAUAAUUAAUUAUUUUUGAGCUAUGGAUAAUUUCAACCGCAAUAAAUGCUCUCAUAAUUUUCUUCUGAAUUUGAUUACAAUCUUAAUUUUUUAUAUUUUUUCUCAAAUCAGACUUAUGGAUUCAGUUAUAAAGCCAUCAUUUUUUCUUUGAAAUUUUAAAUGUUAUUAUGCUAUUUUGUGUGAGACAACUAAGCCCGACGUAGUUAUUAAGACGCUUCACUUGUAGUCGAAAGGUCAAGGGUUUGAUUUAUCAAAGAGGUAAGUAGAGAAUUAUUAUUGAUCCUCUUUUAAGAACAAGAAAAAAAUGCUACUUUAUGUGAGAUAUGAUUGAUAUAUAUAUUUAUGACAUCAUGAUGACCUUAUGAUAGUUUUGAUUUUUCAUAAUAAUGAACCCUAUGAGUGCCAUUCAAGUGGGAUAGAAGCUCAAAUUGAUGGCAUUUACAAGUGCCAUUAAAAAAGUGAUAUUUUAUAAUAACUUUUCUUAGAUUCAACUUAAUCGCAUUAGAGAACUUCGUUCUCAUGCAACAAUUAUCUAUGCUAAUUACUACAAUUCUGCAAUUUGAUUCUAUUGCUCACCAAAAGAAUUCGGUAUUGCACUAUCUUUUAACUUGCUAAUUUUCUCACAACUCAAAAUAGUACUCAAAAGUUUUAUUUUAGAUACUUUGUCCUCUAGACUUUACUAAUUUAUGUCAUAUCAUCGCCUAAUCCGCACGACCUUCAUGCACCUUUUUUUUUUUUUUUUUUUUUAUAGAAAGAUCAUUUCAUUCAAUAAAUCCGCACUAAUAGUAGAAAAUACAUCAAACAUGACACAAAUACAUAUGGAUUUAAAAUCAAUAGAUACAACAGAUCUAAAAAAUCAAUACAAAUAAAGAUAACAUUGAUGCUCUUAUACAUCUUCUAUCCAGAUGAAUUACCAUAGUACAAUACAUCUAUACAUGUCUUUUGAUAGUCAAAUCCGAUUAACACUGGUUCAAGUUCAAAGAGAAAUUUAAAUCUUAUAAUAAUGGAGAAAUUGCAGAUAUGAGAAACUAAAUUCUAAAUCUAUAAAAUCUAGAUAAAGUUGAAUUAACAUAUGUGCACCUUAAAGUGCAAAGUACAUCUAACGUAAAGUUGAUUCUUGCAACCUCUUGUGGAGCUGGUGGUCCAUAUUAUUGCUAAUCAUCUAUGGGUUGUGGCGACCCACAAACAACUGGUUGUGCUGAUAUCCUUUGGCACAUAUUUGCUGGGACGGUAUGCAUGAGACAGAAGCAGCCAACAGAUUAAUAGUUAAGGCUCUAUUUGAAGGACCAUAUUCAACUCCUCUCAUUGAUUUACACUACAACAAAAUAGGCUAUUAGUGUUAAAAAGAGUUUGUCACUAUCAAUUUAAAUAUCGUCAUUGAAACAAAUCAGCGACAACAAUUCAGUCGUUAUGCUGCCAACACUGAACCAUUGUCAUACAUGGCACCUAUUGAUAUGUUACAAAAAGUUGUCACUAAUUGGUUUUAUAUAAUUACGACCUUUAUUGCAAAAGUCUGUAGUGACUAUUGUUUUUGCCAUUAAAUCAUUGGCUAGGUUGUGACUGUUGUUGACCAAUUGAUCAUCACUACUAGAAAGAGACACUGACAGGAAGUCAUCACUGUGUUUGAAACAGCAUUAAUGAUGACUUGGUCUUGUCCCAUUUGUCCUUAACAAUAAUAGCAAGUGAAAGGUGCUCUGUUGUCACUCCAUGAUAGGGUUCAUUUAGAUGGUAUAUUUUUCUAUAUUUUCUCUUUUUACUUAUAUCAAAUAUUGCUUUACUUGAUCGAUUCUACUCAAAAUUGGUAUUUGGUGUUAAUUUCAGGAAUUGGAACGGAAAGUGCUUAAAAUCAAGAAUUCCUAGUGAUUUGCACGUGGGCCGGAAGAUCGGGAAGAGUUUAGGCAGUUUCCUAGUCCAAAUCAAAUUCCAAACAAUUGACUGCUGAUGAAGAUUUCCUACCUUUUGGGCAGUCCACGUCAUCCUCAAGAAAAAGGAAAGCUUGAAGAACUUGACCUGUAAUAGGAAACCAUCCCUUCAAAUUAGUUAAUUUAUUCCUAGAAAAUAGGGAUGGAGGUAGACAUCAAUUCAUCAUCUUUUCGUGGCUAGAAAGGAAACAACAAAAUUGCUUUUGUUUCUAUUUUCUUCUUGGCCGAUUUUGAGAGGAACAAUUUUUUUAACUUUCGACUAGCUUUUUUCGCAUGGCUUGUUCUUCAUCAAUGGGGAACUAAUUUCAUACUUCUAGUCAAGGGGACAACUAAAGAUUUAGUUCAAUAAUAACGGUGAGAUCUAAAUUAUUUUAAUUGCUUCCUUCAUUCAUUGGUGUUUGUAUGUUUUCUGCUUUCAGUGGUUAUGACUAUUGUGUAUGAUUGAAUAGUUGCGCAAUAUUUAAUUAUUCACGUAAUCUAUUUGCUAAUUGUAGAUAGUUGAAUCCGUAAUUAUUUGAUUACUCUCAUCUCGAUAGCAACUGGCAUAAUUGGGUUUGUGUCAGAAAAACGUACAAUCUAAUUUAAAUAAACCCCCGUAGCGUGUUUAUUGAUUAGAGUAGGGGUUCUCUAGUUUCUAAUGCAAUUGGGGAAUUAAAUUCUAUGGUCGUACUUAGAGUUAUUCCUAAAUUAGGGAAAUAGUCAAUGGUUGUACCUUAAGUAUCGAAACUGUAAGAAGAGACUGACUGUCAGAUCGUAUUGACAGUUAAAAACUUACUUAUUAAUGAAUGUUGGAUUUAUUUGUGAAUCGAUGAUCAGUUGCAUGAACCAUCUCUGAAGUGUAUCCUUGGCUAGAGUCUUCCCAAUUAUUUCUCUCUAUUACUUAUUUUUCGCAGUUGAUUAAUUUAGUUAACAAUUCAUUAGCGUUAAAUUCUCAAACCCCCCAUUUGCCUUGACUUGAAAAGGAACAAAUUUCUCCCAAUCCUUGAGGAUACAACCCUACUUGCCCUAUAUACAAAUAAAAGAUUUUUUGUGAAUAAAUUCAGGUAUAUCGGAUUAAGCAAAUUCUUCAGAACUAGGAUGAAUCAAGUAAUCCAUUGCACAUCUAGAAUCCCUGCUCCAAUACUAGAAUUGACACGAAGCUGCUUUGUUGGCACUUAGGAUUAUUACUAUUAUUGCAUAGGCUCAACACCUGUCACUCCAUUUAUGGCUGACAACCUCAAAGUUGUCAUGCAAUCCCGGUUUUGCAGUGACAACUCGGUUUUUGUCGAUUAUGCAGUUGUGUUUCAGCUAUAUUUGCAUUUUACUAGAAAAACCAAUAAACCAAGUCCAAAUUUAUAGGGACUAACAUGAAACCAUAAAUGUGUACUAAGAAAACUAGCAAUUUAUUAGUGAAUUAACACGAAUCCAUGAACCAAAUUCAUAAAAAAAUCUAUUUCAUCAAAGCAUCCAAAUCGAUUUACAACAUUGAGUUAUUGAUAUUCUAGUUUAGAUAGUUUUUGAAUAGUUGAAAAAAUAUUUUUUUAUGUUUAAAAGAUAAGGUUCAAUUUCACAAACGUUUCUCUUAUUUACAAAUUGUAUCAAACUUUUAUUUCCUGUAAAAUCUAUAAACAGUAAAAGAUAAACACAAAGCAUAAAUGUUACCAAUGACCCCUAAAAUUGGCUAUCAUAUCUGGAUAGAAAUUAACCUUCAACCAAGGUUGAAAUCAGACUGUUCAUUGGCCCAAAAAAAUAAUUGGGUCAAGAAUCAUUGGUUCAACUAUUAGGCUGAACAUACUUGACCCGUGAUGACAUGAAUAUGUCAUAAAUAUUUUUCUUAUAUAUAUUGAUUAUUACAAAUAUGCAAGUAUUUGUAGAUAGUUCACUCUGAUGUAAAAAAUGUUCACUUCAAUCCUUUUUACAUCUUUUAACCAUUGAAACUCAAAAAUAACUUUUUUUUUAAAAACUUUUUUAAGCAAAAAUUAAAGGAGUUAUAUAAAGCAUUUUGUCUAAAUUUUGACUAAUUAAAUACAUAACAGUAUAUAAGAAAGGUAUUAAAGAAAUUAAAGCCAAUAAAAAAACAUAAAAUACAUUAAAGAGUUGCAUAAGUUAUUGUAUUAACUUGAGGGAGGGUUAGGUUGGGUGGUAAGGUGGGAGGGGUUGUAAGUAAGAGAUUUUGGAUUCAAGUCUUCUGGCUUACCAAAAAAAAUUAUUGUAUUAGAUGCAUACAUAUGUUGAGCAAUAAUUAAGACGUAAUAAUAUUCUUUUCAUUUCUCACUUUUAAAACGAAACAAUUCGUCCCUGACAUUUAAAAUUGAAGCUAUUACAUUUCUGAAUCCAACUUUCAAUUUGAAUCGAACCAUCCAGUGACUCAGUAACAAAUUUUGGGGAUAGAAUUGAUACAUAACUUGGUCAACUCCAUCACAUUCACAUGACAUUUAUUGAACCAAAAAAGGGAAAAAAAUUAAAAAUUAUAAUAUAAAAGCCGUUGUUUGUUUUGGUAUAGUAGAGUUUCUUUUUGGAUAAAUGUUUUCAUAUGUAUACCACACGUACAAAAUUUGGUGUUUAAAUUUAAAUUGAAAUGAUGUGACUGGUAUCUAGACCCGUCAGUGUAUAUAAUGACAAUUAUGUACAAGUAUGUAUCUAGACCCAUUAGUGUAUAUAAUAACAAUUAUGUACAAAAAAUUAGUAAGAUUUAAAUGCGGAACAUAACAUUAAUUAACAAAAUUUGAAAGUUUUUUUUGUCUCAAUUUAAAUUGUAUAGUGAACUGGCUGGGUCAUGAAAAACUACUCUAGUUCAACUAUUAAUUGGCUAAACUCGAUAAUUUUUCUGAAUUAGCCUAAAUUGACAAUUUUUGUAAUGCUACUGGGUUUUAGGGGUUGUUCGGUCCGACAUGAAGACUGAUCGACAAUUAAACCGGUCCAAUUGGGUGGUCCGGGUUGAGUUUUAAAACAAUGCCUUAAACAUGCCUGCUAGCUGGUCUUGAACUUUCCCACAUCUGAGAGUGCUGGGAGCUAAUAGAACCGCAGGAUGACGUAAGAGACUUAUUUCAACUUAAAAGAGAGGAAAUCAGAAGAAAAUUUGCAUUAAGGCUUAACUAAAAGAUGCACCUUAACCCUUAAAAAGUACGUGACUCUUUGACUUAGCAGGCACAUCCAAUGGGAUGUGAUGUGAGGAAGGUAAAGAGUCAUACACGUUAGAUCUAAAUUUCUAUACGUAAAAUUCAAGUUAGAUGACUAUAUAAACAUCUAUAUGACAUUCAAACAUCGUAUCUUAAAUUACCCAUCUGCAUAUAAAAGAAUGUAAACUAAAAAAUGAUCUUUUUUUCCUAAAACUCUAUCUGUUGGUAAAUCAAUUUUAAUUAUUAUAAUACUGAAACCAUACACUUUGAGAUACCAUGCAUGUAUUGAGUACCCAAACCAAUUUGGGUUUAGGUCUAGGUUGGGUAUAUAUUCAUUUUUUUCAAACCACUAGGGUGUGGAUUUAGAUUGGGGCCAAAAAAAUUUAGGAGAUAGGAGAUUUGGCUUUGGAUUUACUAGAUCUAACUCAGCGUCGGGCACUAGAUCUUGGCUUCCUACCAUUGUUGGUUGCUCUAAGUCUGAAGUUUUUUCAUCAGUAAAAGAGAGAAUCUUGUAGAAGAUACAAGGAUGGAAUGAACAAUGACUCUCAAAGGCAGGUAAGGAAAUCAUGAUCAAGGCUGUUUUCUAGGCCAUUCCAACAUACUCAAUGUCUUGUUUCAAGUAUCCGGAUUCCUUGCUUUCAGAUACCCAAUCUAUGAUGAGUAACUUUUGAUGGAGUGAUGGUAUAGAGCAGAAACCAAUUCAUUGGAUAAGUUAGGAUAGAAUGUGUUUGUCCAAAAACAAAGGUGGCAUAGGCUUCAAACAACUUAAGGCUUAUAAUUUUACUUUACUAGCUAAACAGGCAUGGCAUAUUGCAACUUAACCAUCUACUCUUCUACAUCAGGUUUUUAAAGCUAAAUAUUUUCCCAGUUCAAACUUUUUUCAUGUCGAGCCGACUUCCAAGCCUUCUUUUACUUGGAGGGGAUUGGCCGAAGUUUGAAAAUAUUUAGUCUCUGGUAGCUGAUGGCGAGUUGGAAAUGAGAAUCAUAUCGAAAUUUGGAAAAAUAGGUGGAUUCCAUGUCCUUCUUCUUUCAAAAUUAUAUCUCGUUUUGAUGCGCUACCAAAUGACUCCACUGUAGAUUGUUUAAUUGAUGAAAAUAGCAAGAAAUGGAAAUAUGAGCUGCUUCAAGAACUUUUCUGGCAAGACGAGAUCGAGCUGAUUAUGAGUUUUCCAUUGGAUGAUAGUCGAAAUCAAAAUAAGCUCAUCUAGCAUUACUCUAAAAAUGGCUCCUUCACAGUGAAAAGUGCCUACCAUCUUGUCAAAACACAAUUCACAAACUGGCAGGAUGUAGCUUCAAGAAGUAAUGGCUUUGUGGAUGAUAUUUGGCCUUGCUUGUGGAAAUUCUACAUACCAAGUAAAGUUAAAAUAUUCUUGUGGCGAAUUUGCAAAGGUGUUCUACCUACAACUUCCAAGUUGAAUAGCCAUGGAGUUUAUCAUGAUCCUACCUACUCUUUAUGUAAGACCCCUGUUGAAGAUGUUAAUCAUAUUUUCUUGUACUGUCCAGUAGCAAUUCAAGCUCGAGCCCUCAUCUUUGUUACACUGAAGAUAAGAUUAGACUCUGCUGAUCAAGUUUCGUCUUGGUUGCCUGGCCUUCUUCGUUUUUCGAAAAAGUCGGACAUGGAAUUGAUAGCCAUAAUUCUUUGGAAUCUAUGGCUUAAUCGAAAUGGUGCAUUACUUGAUGGUUCCUAUUGUGAUCCUCUUAGUUUGGUCUCUCUCUCUCUCUAUCAAUUUCUUACAGAAAUACCAUGAAGCAUACACAUCUCCAAACAUUCCAAUACGCUCUUCUACUACUCAACUUCAUUGGAAAAAACCCCUAUAGGUUUUCUAAAGGCCAACUUUGAUGGUGCAAUAUUCUAUGAAAACGACUACUCUGGAGUUGGAGUUGUUGUAAAGGAUGAAUGGCCAAUUUUGUUGUAGGUAUUUCUCACAAAAAUCUUAGGUAUCUUUUCUCCUAAGAUAAUUGAAGCCUAUGCUGCAAAAUCUGCAAUUUCCUCAUUAUGUAAGUUAAAGGUUCUCAAUAUUAUUUUAGAGGGUGACUCUUUGAAGAUCAUCAACAUGCUUAAAAAUAUGAAAUUUGAUGAUUCAGCUUAUGGGGUGCUAUUAGAUGAUAUCCUUUGACAGGUGUCGAGCCUGCGCAAUAAUAAAUACCUACUCGGAAAAAAUAUAAUUUUCUGUGUAUAGUAGUGAGUAGGGUUGAAUCCACAGAGAUUGGGGGGGGGGAUUUGCUUCUUUUCAAGUUCGGGACACGGGGGAAUUUUAUCGGAAUAAAAAUAAGAACAAUCAAGCAAUUCAACCAAGACAAACAAUUAACUAGUACGAACGUAGAUAGAAAUUAAAUCAAUAAUAGACAAACUCUAGCCAAGGAUACAACUACUCGGACACAGUCUAUUCAUCCAAUCAUUGAUGCAAGGGAGGUUCACUUAAUUUUAUUAACAUGUUAGUUAUAAUUGCCAACAAACUCUGACGGCCAACUUUUCCUUAAUUUAUUGAUAACCAAGGUACGACCGUUGAUUACCCCUAACCAGGAAACACUCCUAGGUACGACCGUAGGAAUUAAUUCCCUGAUUGCAUUAAAAACUAGAAAAACCUAACCCCACUAAUAACACGCUACAAGGGUUAUUUAAAUCAGAUUGUACGUUCCCCUAGUGUGUGAAAAUGCUAGUUGCCACUGAUAGUAACCGAUUAAAUAAUUACGGAUUUAAUUGAUUAAUUUGGCAGGAGAUUAGUAAGUCACAUUGAACAUCGGGCCCUUGAUAUCCAAUUAGCAAAAUAAUCCCAUGGAAAUUCAAAUAGAAACAGUGCAAAUAUUAACAAAUUAAAGAAUAUACGAAAACUAAUUCGAUCUCACAGAUAUUCGGGACUGCGUCGUCUCGUUGAUUCUUAACUAGAUGGAAAACUUAGCCACGCCUCAUGAGACAAUUUCCACACAAUUUAAUUGAUUUCGAAGGCAUCAUCUUUUUCACUAAUAGUCUCCAAGAAUAAUAAUACUGUGUUCCAGCGGUCUCAAUAGAAGGAAACAAAAGAAAAACAUAAAAUAAAGAAAAAGCAAGGAUGGGACAAAGCCCAAAAGAUCCAGCUGUUUUUCAUAAGAAGAAUUCCUCCUUUUAAACAAGAAAACCUCCGACCCCUUGUUUCCUAAUUUCUAUGGACUAAUUGCAAAGAGUCCUAUUUCUUUUUGGUUUCCUCUGCCAAUGCAACAAAUGGCUAUCAAAAUAGGAAACCUUUGUCCUCCAAUUGGAAUUGGCUUGUAACUCUUUGCGUAUUUGCACAUCUCAUUCUUCACUUUUCAGGAUUUUGUACUCUACCCCUGCAACUAUGUCCAAAUGCCAAUUAUAAGUAGAAUCUAACAAUUAACAAAAUAUUUGGCGCAAAUAAUGAGGAAAAUUAAUCAGAAAAUGACUAACAAUUAAUACCCUAUCAAUCUUUCCACACCUAAAUCAUGCUUGUCCUCAAGCAUGGGAACAACUAAACUCAAACAAUGGGUUGCUCUCACGUCAUCUAUUGCCAAACUGUGCUUACACCAAAAUCAAGAUUAAGUGGCUAAGUGUCAAGACAUAGUCCUCCCGAUUAGCUCCUGAAAUCACAAACUCAUCUAAUUCAUGGCUAACUCAUCUAGGAAAUCAAAAUAUUAAACUAGCAACAGUCAGCAAUUGGUUCAACUGGCAACCAAAAUCUUAACAUUGAAGAACAAGGAUCGGUAGGCCAACAUGAUGAUAUGGUUACAUAUUUUUCACAUCUGUUUUUUUUUUCUCUUUUUUUUUUCUUUUUUUUUUUAAUGAAUAGAGGCUUAGUUCCAAGCCAUUCAAGUCUUUUGACGUGAAUUCUGACAUUUUUAGAUGAAAGACCCUAGUUACUCAACUUUUCACAACUUCAGGACUACCUACUCAUAGAUAUCAACACUUUUGACGCGAGAGUCGACGCUGGUGGUAAAGGCUUCCUGUUAUUGUGUGACGACACUAGCGGAGUAUAGCCAUUUGUUAUUCACAACAAAACACCAAAAUACCAGACAAUUAAAUAUCAUGGCUCACGUCAUCUCAUAAACAUGGAGAACUAAGGUCAACAGGGGACCAAUGCACACAACAGUGGCUAGCAAAAUAUUUACAUUGCCUAAACAAGUUAGCCACAAUUUGUACCAAGUCAUUAAACUUAAAAUAUUCACCAACACAACAUGCUCUUACUUGCCACCGAAACUAAAUUUAUAGAAUAAACUACAGCUUGCAAUAGAAGAGUGAGUCGCCAGGCAAUUGUUGAUCACCAGGAUAAGUAAUAAGAAAAAUAGAAAAUUAACGAGAUACCAGUCAAACCCCCCUAAACCUGAAUCACACAUUGCCCUCAAUGUAGAAAAUAAACAGAAGAAGCAAGAAGAAGGGCAACAGGGCUUCCCUGAAGUCACGGGGGUCGAGGCGGGGUCAUAGCGAUGGGUGAGGUGCAAAGGGAGAUGGAAAACCCGCGUGGUGCAUAAACACUGUCAAAUUCUGCAUAAACGCUGACAAAACUUGCCCACCCCAAAUCUCAACGAAUGUCUCCAUUAGGACAGUCAAUUACACAAUUUAGCCAACUGAAAUUAGCAAAUGUCCCAAGAAACUGACAAUUCUAGCAACAGCAGUUCAAAAUGUGGACAACAGCUUAAUCACAAGAUUUUUAGCUUUCAAUCAGGCAGCCAACCAAAUAGAAUCAAUAAAUGUAGUCAAAGUACCCCAACCAGUACCACUGGUGCACCCCACAGAUAAUGAAGCAACUCAAACGGUCAACCCAGUCAACAGAAUGCACAAAGUAGUCACCCAAGUUCUAGACAAAUAUCCCAACAAUACAGCAAUAUCAAUCAAUACUCACUGGUGGUUCCAAUUGAGUCAAAUGCAGGAACAAUGCAAUCCAAAAGCGCAACAAAUGCUCCAAAGACUUAGCAAUUGAAAUCAAUAGGCAGAAUACUUCCAGCAAGUCAAUUAGACGCAACCAACAGUAAUAAGCAAUGGAAAUGGCACAGCAGCCUUCCAAUUCAACAAGCAAACGCAAAAAUUACCCAACCAAAGGCACGUCAAUGGACUCAAGACAGAAAUAAGCAAAAUAGAACUCAAGUGAUACCAAAAAAGACCCCAACAAUGCAGUGAAUUCAACCAAUUUGAGCAAGUAAAAUACGGUCAGAAGUGCCUUCCAAAUAUCAACAGGGAGCGACAAAACGUGCCCACCCAAAAUCUCUCCAAAUGUCUCCAAUUGGACAAGAACAACUCAGUCACCGAUGCCCAGCAGUCAAUUAGGCAGCGAAUCACAUAGGAUUAAUGAAUUAUAUGCAAACUACUACAACAAGUACCACUGGUGCAUGCACAGAUAAUAGAAUAACCCAAACGGCCAACUCAAACCAUUGAGAAAUACAAACAACAUUAAAUAGUACCCCAAGAGCCCACUCAAUUGACAAUUACAUCAAACUAGGCAAAUCAUGUUCAGGACAUAACCCAACACACUGGUCCAGUAUCACAAAUGUAAGCGAACAAAUUUACGCUCUUGAAAUCACAAUCAUCUAGAUUCCAUCAAAAUCAAUAAAUCAAAAUAUCACAAUAAAUCAAAAUAUCAGAUACCAAAAAAUUAAGAAAGAAAAACCUGGCACUAGGGAGGCUAGGCUACCGACGGCGGCAAUGGGUUGUGCGUCGCGCAUGGUGGAGGUGGAUGGUCACGAGGAAGAGGCGGUGCGGGCUGGCGGUGCAAGAGGGAGAUUGUUGUUGCGGAGAGUGACGAGGGGAGAGUGAUGGCAGUCGCUCGUCUGCAGCAGGAGAAAGCAGCAUCACGCUGCUAUCGCGCAAGAGGGAGAGAGUUGCGAGGGAGGCGCGGCUGCUGAAGAAGAAGGCUGGCGGUGGCGUGCGCGGUUGAGCAGAUGGCUCGCGGUGGAGGGAGCCAAGGGCGGCGACUCUCGAUGGCGCGUCGACUGCGUCGCGUUGUGGUCGUCGCUAGUUAGAGCACUGAUGGUUGGCAUGGCCGUGCGUGUGAGGUGGCAGCGGCGUGGGUCAGCGUGCGCCAGGGUGGCGGUCGCGCGAUGGAGAUGGAGGUUUGUGGUGGUGGCGUGGGCAGGGGCGGCGGACAAAGAGAAAGAAAAGGGAAUUGGGAAAGAAGAAAGAAAGCAAAAGGGAAGAAGGAAAGAAAAAAAGACAAAAAGAAAGGAAGAAAAAGAAAAAAAUAGUUUUUUUAAAAUUUUUUUUAGAAUUGAAUUGAAAUUUUAAAAUUUGAAUUUUGAAUAAAAAAACUGAAGGUGAAAACGAAAAAUAUUUUUAUUUUUAAAUUUUUUUAAGAAAUUUUUUUCUUUUGUUUUUGGGUCAUUAAACACGGCGUGUGUACGCCAAGAUUGGAAAACGUCUACUGAUCUUGAGAGUCACUUUUUGCACUUUAACACGUGUCCUCCUCGCGUGGGCACGCCAAGAUUCCACUUCCUGCUGACGUCGCGAGAUAUUGAGAUCUUACCAACAUGGCGUGGGCACGCCAUGUUUUACAAACGUCCACUGAUCUUGAAUAUAUAAACUUGUAAGAUUAACGUGUACCCUCCUCACGUGGGCACGUUAAGUUUCCCUGUCCUGGCCACAGUUGAGAAAAACAUCAAGUGCAAUCAGUAUCCAAGUGAGAAACGACGAAUUGAAAGAAUUGAACAACAAAAAAUAACAAAACCAAUAUUUGGGUUGCCUCCCAAAAAGUACAUUUUUUUAUCGUCUUUGGCUAGACGUUAAACAACACUCUUUAAUUUGGAUGUAAUUCAAAUUUUCUUGUAAUCUGUGGCCUUUCUCCGGGAUCCAAAUAGCUAUUGAAUGCAAUCUUUUUCCUUAAUUUUCUACUCAUUUUCACCUCAUGAAUUGCUUUCAUCCCAUGAUACUUAUUCGCAGCAACUUUGAAUUUACCCCUACAAGCAAACUUAGAAAAUUCUUGCACAGAAAGAUUAGUAGCACGAAUAGUGAACACAGAGUGAGAGUUAAUAGGAUAUUUCAUUGUAUCAAAAAUAUUAAAGUGGACUGUUUCUCUAUCAAAUUUCAUUGUGAGAGUACCCUUACUAAUAUCAAUCUUAGUUUGGGCAGUACUUAAGAAUGGGUGAUGGAUUUGGGGCACUUUCAUCAUCCAUGUAAAGUACAUAAAAAUCAGUAGAAAAAAUUAAUCCAUCUACUUGCACUAAAACAUCCUCAACUACCCCAUCCGGAUAAGCAAAUGCACGAUCAGUCAAUUGAAUUAUUAUCUCUGUUUCUUUUAAAGAUCCUAAAUUUAGAGAAUCAUAAAUUGAUUUAGGCAUCACAUUAAUUGAAACCCCUAAAUCUAGCAUGGCAUUUUUAAUCUUAGAAUGUCCAAUCUUACAGGGAAUAGUAAACAUAUUUGGAUCUCCGCAUUUAGGUGGUAGUUUUCUUUGUAAAAUCGUUGAAACGUUCUCACCUACCACAAUAUGCUCAUCCCCCCUCAACUUCUUCUUGUUGAUGCACAAGUUUUUCAAGCAUUUAGCGUAUUUUGGCACUUGCUUGAUCGCGUCCAACAAAGGGAUAUUAAUUGCCAUUUUUCGAAACAUCACUAGAAUCUCCUUUUGCUUAUCUUGUUUUUUCGGUUUCUCCAACCUGUUAGGAAAAGGAGGUGGGUUAGUCUUAACUGUAAUGAAUGAGCCCGGGAGUAUCUUUAGAUCCUUAUUGUCUCUACCCUCUUCUUCAAGCUCUUUCUCAAUUCGUUCCUCGUCCUUUUCCUUAAAAAUCACGAGCUCGGAUCCUUGGAUUCUCUUUUCACUCCUCAAGGUCAUUGCGUUCACAUUAUUCAGGUUCAGUUCAGGUUGAGACGGCAAUUUUUCAUAAACUUGGGAUUCCAGGCGAUUGAUUGCUAUUGCCAUCUAACUCAUCUGAUUCUGUAUUACUUGCACCUGUCCCAAUUGAUUCCUCAUACUUUGUAGGUCAGAAUCCGUUUUUUGUUGAUUAGUAAUCAAUUGCUUCAUCAUCUCUUCUAUAGACAAACUUGAGUUUGAAGGGGGUGGUGGCGGGCGAACUUGAUAAUGUUGUUGAUACUCUUGCUGUCUAUUUUGUGCAAAAUUUGACUACGUAUUUUCUCCAUAGCUGAAGUUAGGGUGAUCUUUCCAACCUGAAUUGUACGUAUUCGAAUACGGGUCAUAUGGCUUUCUUGACGCGGGCACGUGACCGGCCAUGUUCACUUGCUCCGCACUUUCUUCUUGAAUCAUUAGGCACAUCUCUAUAGAAUGAUCCAUAUCAGUGCAAAUCCCACACACCUUGGCCUGUGAUGCAUUCCUUACAACCAGUUGGCUACCAAAAGAUGUUAACCCAGUCAACUGCUAUUGGAUAGAAGAUAUCUCUACCUCAUUCACCUUGCGUGUUGGGAUAUCUUCCCUCGUACCAAACUGCUACGAAUUCUCAGCCAUUCCUUCAAUUAACUCCCAUCCUUCUCGAGGGGUCUUGUUCACCAGUGCCCCUCCACUCGCAGUAUCAAUUAUACUUCUAUCUCUGAAGAGUAAGCCCUUAUAGAAAUAUUAAAUGAGCAGUUGCUCACUUAUCUGGUGCUGAGGGCAUUUGGUGCAUAACUUUUUGAACCUCUCCCAGUACUCAUAGAGAGACUUGCCUGGGUGUUGUUUGAUGCUGCAUAUUUCUUUCCUUAAGCUGGCGGCCCGAGACGCAGGAAAAUAUUUUUCUAGAAAUUUUUUCUUCAGUUAGUCCCACAUGAUGAUACUACCUGGUGGUAGGUAGUACAGCCAGUCCUUCGCGAAAUCCUUCAAAGAGAAGGGGAAUGCCCUCAUUUUUAUCUGUUUUUCUGUAAUUCUCGGGGGUUUCAUGCUGUUGCAAAUGACAUCAAACUCUUGCAAAUGCUUAUACGGCUCCUCACCUAAUAAACCAUGGAAAAAUGGUAAGAGAUGAAUUAGACCAGAUUUCAAGUCAAAUGGAGUGUUAUCAUUUAAAUGUGGAAAAGUAAUACACAAAAGUUGCCGAUUUAAAUCAGGAGCAGCCAAUUCUCUUAGUGUUCGUGCAUUAGCCAUAGCGGUUUUUUUUCGAUUCGAAUCACUCGAAGAAUCACUAAACAAAUCUAUUGGUUCAAAUUUUGGCUCAGGUCUCUAAGAUGCAGCACUGGAUUGCUUUUUUCUAAGUUGUCUGGUAUCUUUUCUUGUUCUACGCGCGGUCUUCUCUCUCUCGGGGUCAAAAAUUAUUUCACCUGUAAGAGGAAAAUGAGGCAUACACUCAGAAAGUACCAGAAAAUUAAAGCAAAAAUGAACUUAAAAAGAAACAAAUACUUAACGUCAGUCCCUGGCAACGGCGCCAAAAAUUGAUAGGUAUCGAGCCUGCGCAAUAAUAAAUACCUACUCAGCGAAUAUACAAUUUUUGUGUAUAGUAGUGAGUAGGGUCGAAUCCACAGAGAUUGGGGGAGAUUUACUUCUUUUCAAGUUCGGGACACGAAGGAUUUUUAUCAGAAUAAAAAUAAGAACAAUCAAGCAAUUCAACCAAGACAAACAAUUAACUAGUACGAACGUAGAUAGUAAUUAAAUCAAUAAUAGACAAACUCUAGCCAAGGAUACAACUAUUCGGACACAGUCCAUUCAUCAGAUCAUUGAUGCAAGGGAGGUUCACUUAAUUUUAUUAUCAGGUUAGUUAUAGUCGCCAACAAGCUCUGACAGCCAGUUUUUCCUUAAUUUAUUGAUAACCAAGGUAUAGUCGUUAAUUACCCCUAAUCAGAAAACACUCCUAGGUACGAACAUAGGAAUUAAUUCCCCAAUUGCAUUAAAAACUAGAAAAACCUAACCCCAAUAAUAACACAUUACGAGUGUUAUUUAAAUUAGAUUGCAUGUUCCCCUAGUGUGUGAAAAUGCUAGUUGCCACUAAUAGUAACCAAUUAAACAAUUACGAAUUUAAUUGAUUAAUUUGACAGGAGAUUAAUAAGUCACAUUGAACAUUGGGCCCUUGAUCCAAUUAAUAAAAUAAUCCCAUGAAAAUUCAAAUAGAAAACGUGCAAAUAUUAACAAAUUAAGGAACAUCUGAAAACUAAUUCGAUCUCACAGAUAUUCGGGACUGCAUCGUCGCGUUGAUUCUUGACUAGAUAGAAAACUUAGCCAUGCCUCAUGAGACAAUUUUCACGCAAUUCAAUUGAUUUCGAAGGCAUCAUCUUUUUCAGUAAUAAUCUCCAAGAAUAAUAAUACUAUGUUCUAGAGGUCUCAAUAGAAGGAAACGAAAGAAAAACAUAAAACUAAGAAAACGCAGGAAUGGGGCAAAGCCUAAAAGACCCAGCUGUUUUUCAUAAGAAGAAUUCCUCCUUUUAAACAAGAAAACCUCCGACCCCUUGUUUCCUAAUUUCCAGGGACUAAUUGCAAAGAGUCCUAUUUCUUUUUGGUUUCCUCUGCCAUUGCAAGAAACGGCUAUCAAAAUAGGAAACCUUUGUCCUCCAAUUGGAAUCGGCUUGCAACUCUUUCCGUGUUUGCACAUCUCAUUCUUCACUUUUCAGGAUUUUGUACUCUACCCCUGCAAUUAUGUCCAAAUGUCAAUUAUAAGUAGAAUCCAACAAUUAACAAAAUAUUUGGCGCAAAUAAUGAGAGAAAUCAAUCAGAAAAUGACUAACAAUUAACACCCUAUCAUCCUUAUUAGUUUACAAAAUUUUGUCACUUGGGAGGCUAAUUAGAGUCCUAAGAAUCUAUAUAUUUGCCUACUUAUUUAUUAGUUAGGAAUGUUAGAUCUAUUUCAAAUAUUUGUAGUUGGAGAUAUUCUCCAUCAUCUUUUUCUUUCUUCCACAAUUAUUGCGAAUCUAUCUUCACUUUAAUAAAAUUUUCCAAUUUUUUCUAUCAGAAAAACUUAACGUCGGGUUCUACCCUAUUGACAUGCUAUAAAGUGAUGUAUUUUUCAAAGGAUAAAAUUGUAUUCACCUAAUAGAACUUUUAAUAAAAGUGCUUAUUAAGUAAUUAAGUAUUUUUAAGUAUAUUGUUUGAAUACAUAGUUCAAUAAGCACUUAUUAUAUUCGAUAUGUGUAAUUUGAAUUUUUAAAAUAUAUUUAUCUCUUUAUUUAGUUCAUAAUAUAGGAUAAAAUGAUUAAAUUUAAUAUUUUAUUUUUAAAAAUACAAAAAAUAUUUUAAAAGCACUAAAUUUGAGCUUUUACUAAAAGUACUUUUAAUACCAAAAUCUCCGCUCCUGAAUUUUAUAAAUUGAUAUUCACCAAAUGCCUCAAAAUGUACCUUUAGCAUCCAAAAGCACUUUUUAACCAAAACCACCGCAACCUCAAACUGGCCCAAAAGAAGAAUCUUUUAAUCGGGCACACUUUAUUGUAUCCAUUUGCAUUAUUUGCUUUUGCUCUUGUAAGAACCAUCAAAGCGGAGCUGCAAGGGAAAUAAUACCUAGCAACUGAUGGAUUCCAAAGCAUUUGCUUCUUGUAUUCUCCUCCUUCUUCUGUUAAUUGCUCUAGUAAAUUACUUUGCCAUUAAUUGUUUUUUGUGAUAUAUAUGUCAUGGACUUGAUUCUCACUAUCCUACAACAAUAUACAACCUUUACAGGGAGCUUGUGAUAUUAUAACCAAGGAUAGUACUAAUGCAAUCAGGCUUCAGGGCAUAGAUGUUAAUAAUCGUCAUCGAAAUGAUAAGAGACAUGAUAUUGCUCACGGCCACGAAAAGAAUUCAAUGCAUGAUCCUUCUCAUUCCUCAUCCCACAUGAUGCAUCAAACGGAUCCAAGAACAACCGUGUUUUUCGUUUUAGAUGAUCUCAAGUCAGGCAAAAGAAUAAGUAUCUUUUUCCCCAACGGAAAUCCUAGUCCCCUAUCCUCUCCUUAUCUCUAGCCUAGAGAACAAGCCGAUGCUAUCCCCUUUUCAUUGGCAAAACUCCCACAAAUUCUUCAACACUUUUCAUUCCCUCAAGGAUCUCGCAAGGCCCAAGUGAUGGAACAUACACCCUGAGCAUAUGAGGCUAAGCCUAUGAAGGGAGAAUCAAGGCUUGUGCCACAUCCUAUGAGUCAUUGGUGGAUUUUGCGUGAAAGAUCUUGGGAUUGAAUACCAAUAUCGAAGUUUUAUCAACACAUCUCCUCACAAAAUCUAAUGUUGCUAGAUUACAAAACUAUACAAUCACAGAAGCUCCUCAAGGAAUUUCAACUCUAAAGGUGAUUGACUGUCACACAAUGCCAAUGGGAUGGGUGUAUGUUGCCCUGCCCCCCACCCCAUUUUAGGGUUGGGCGAAUUCUCCCCCGAUCCUGCCCCAUCCCCCACCCCAUUUCUAUCCCUACGGACACUCAUCCCCGUUGCCACCCUUAAUCUCAACAUAUCGCCCGCAGUAUCGAUGAAACGCAAAUUUUGAAGCAUCUAGUAUUCUAAAAAUUGUGAAAAAAUAUAAAAAAUAGAAAAAACUAUGCUAAACAAAAUAACAAAAAAAGGUUAAAAAAAUGAGUUCAUGAGCUACAUUUGUGAGAGGGUAAGGUCAAGAUUUUAUCCUCGAAUACUCCUCUAAACCUGAUAAAACUGAUUGCAAGUUUAACUUUAUUCUUCUAAUUUUAAGGGAAAAAAUUAAUUUAAGCUAAAAGCAUAACGUGCAUUUUAAUUAAUUAAAGUAGAAUAAACUUGCAAUCCUAGUCCCCUAUCCUCUCCUUAUCUCUAGCCUAGAGAACAAGCCGAUGCUAUCCCCUUUUCAUUGGCAAAACUCCCACAAAUUCUUCAACACUUUUCAUUCCCUCAAGGAUCUCGCAAGGCCCAAGUGAUGGAACAUACACCCUGAGCAUAUGAGGCUAAGCCUAUGAAGGGAGAAUCAAGGCUUGUGCCACAUCCUAUGAGUCAUUGGUGGAUUUUGCGUGAAAGAUCUUGGGAUUGAAUACCAAUAUCGAAGUUUUAUCAACACAUCUCCUCACAAAAUCUAAUGUUGCUAGAUUACAAAACUAUACAAUCACAGAAGCUCCUCAAGGAAUUUCAACUCUAAAGGUGAUUGACUGUCACACAAUGCCAAUGGGAUGGGUGUAUGUUGCCCUGCCCCCCACCCCAUUUUAGGGUUGGGGGAAUUCUCCCCCGAUCCUGCCCCAUCCCCCACCCCAUUUCUAUCCCUACGGACACUCAUCCCCGUUGCCACCCUUAAUCUCAACAUAUCGCCCGCAGUAUCGAUGAAACGCAAAUUUUGAAGCAUCUAGUAUUCUAAAAAUUGUGAAAAAAUAUUAAAAAUAGAAAAAACUAUGCUAAACAAAAUAACAAAAAAAGGUUAAAAAAAUGAGUUCAUGAGCUACAUUUGUGAGAGGGUAAGGUCAAGAUUUUAUCCUCGAAUACUCCUCUAAACCUGAUAAAACUGAUUGCAAGUUUAACUUUAUUCUUCUAAUUUUAAGGGAAAAAAUUAAUUUAAGCUAAAAGCAUAACGUGCAUUUUAAUUAAUUAAAGUAGAAUAAAACACCUAAACAUAGCAUGAUAAAUAGAAAAAACCAAUAAGAAUGAGAUAAUUAGUUCCAAAGCUUCUAUUGGAAAAGCCACGAAACAAUGAUUUCAGAUCCCUUUAUAUCAGUUCGAUAACAAUUAAAAGUAAUUAAGAGAAAAAUAAAAAAUGAAAGGAAAAUAUAAAAAUAAAAAUACAAUAAUUAAAUGCACCUAUGCCCUAUAUGGGUGACAUCAGUUCCAAAAGGAAAAAUAAAAUUAAUUACAGCUUAACUUGACAAAUGACAAACUAAUUAAACUAAUAGCCAACUAGUUAACUGCUAAGGACCUAGUUGAAAACAUUAAGGUAACGUUUUGGAGUCGAAUUAGAAAGUACAAAAAAUACAAAAAGUCGAAUUAGAAAGUACAAAAAGUCGGGGGCAGAAAUUAAAAGUGAAAGAAACUAAGGGGGCUAAUGCUGGAAUUUCAAACACUGAGUCAUCUUCCCCACGGGAAACUCCUGCGCGCUGCUGCACCCGUUCCUUCUUCACUGACGAAGUCGCCGGAAGCUGGAAAUCAUCAACUCUGGCCAGCAUUAGACCAGUCGGAAUUUUCCCUCUCUCCCUCAUGCACGAACACACAACACACACACGCUGAAAUUCUUACAAAAAGCGCAGCAAAAUAGGAAAGGGCAAAAAAGAAACAAAAGCUGGCAAAAAAAUUGGGGAUGAAUUAGUCGACUCGCUCGUUUCACUUGGUCUCAGAGACAAUUUGGUCUGAGUCAAUCGAGUUUUUCUCCGAGUUCUCAGUGAUUCUUUCAUCUCUAAUGUGACGUGAACAGUCACAGAGCGGAGUCCUCCGUUCCGUGACAACUCAGUCAAAUCGUCUCCGAUGCUCCCUAGUGUUUGAACCAUGGGCCUACUGCCUAAUACCGAGAACAAUAUCCUUUUUAGUCAAGUUCUUUAACAUUAUCCAAAAGAUGCAGUGGAAUUUCAGAAUAUCCCUUCCAAAUCUUGUCUGCUUUUCCUUCCCAUAGAUGCUGCAUAUGAGAAAUUCAUCGAGCAAUUUUGUAUUACGUCUCUCCCAUAUACCGAAUAGAUCGAAAGCUUAAGAAGUCAAAAACAUAUUUUUUGUUUUCAAGUGGAUGCUGAUCACGAAAUAUAAUGGCGAAGCCCAACUGACCAGGACUAUUCCAGGCUUUUUGCCAAAAUAAAGAAACAGGAAAAAAAAAAGAGAGAAACAAAGAUGCACUAAACACAAAUAAAAGUUUCACUGUACUAAAUCAACACAACAUUUAUUUAACAGAGGAAUUGUGUUACACUAGACAUUUUGACUCCAACACUAGGAAAAUAAGACCAACCACAUUUAUUCUUGAAAGAGCAGAAAUCCAAUCUCCAGCGAAUUGAAUUUCUCUCAUUUGGGGGCAACAUCACGACAAUGUUACAAAAGCAGCGAUACAGACCUUCACUUCACUUUGAGUCUUUCAUGUUUGGUAUAUCCUAAUUUUGCUUAGCAUCAUCUCUGAAUUCCUUGCGGUAGAGUAUUGAUCCACGGUUUGACUCGAAAUCUUUGAUAUGCAGUUUUCCCUCCUGAAAUUUAGCUUUGUCACCAUGGUAAAGGAGAAUGGAUUCGGGCUUUGACUCAAAAUCCUUUAUGAGUGGUUUCUCCUCCUCACUGCUGUGGUAAAGGAGUAUGGAUUCAGGCUUUGACUCGAAAUCUUUCAUAUAUGGUUUCUCCGCAUUAGAUUUAGCAUCAUCACCAUGGUAAAGGAGUAUGGAUUCAGGCUUUGACUCAAAAUCAUUCACAGGCGGUUUCUUCUCAUCAUUGCGGUAAAGAAGAAUGGAUUCAGGCUUUGACUCGAAAUCCUUCAUUUGUGGAUUCUCAUGGUUCGAAGACUCGGCCGAGACCAAGACGUCUCGGUUGAGUCGUCUCCGUCUCGGCCUAGCGCGAGACGAAACGUUUCCGAGAUACGUGACAGACCGAGACGUCAUCGUGAAGGGUUAAAACGGUCACGUCACACUGAGUCACUCCGAAUCAUCCCGAGUCAAUUUGAAUUUUUAUUAUUUUUACUAAUUUUUAAUUAUUUUUAAUUAUCAUAUUUUUUACAAUUUUUAGAAUAUUAAAUAUUUCAAAAAUUCACGUCUCGCCGAAACCGCGACCGAUAUGCCGAGAUCGAUGUGGAACGGUCCAAGCCACGACCGCGACUUUGAACCAUGGAUUGUCUUCCUUUGAGUUAGCAUCCUUGUGGUACAAGAGCAUGGAUUCAGGUUUUGACUCAAAAUCUUUCAUUUGUGGUUUCUCUUCCCUGGGGUUAACAUUGUGGCCAUGGUAAAGCAAUAUGGAUUCAGGCUUUGACUCGAAAUCUUUCCCUUGCAAUUUUUCCUUCUUUGAAAUUGUGUCAUCACCAUGGUAAAGGAGUAAGGAUUCAGACUUUGACCCGAAAUCUUUCAUUUGCGGUUUCUCCGCCUUUGAAUUAGCAUCAUCACCAUGGUAAAGAAGAAUAGAUCCAGGCUUUGAGUCGAAGUCUCCAAUAUGCGGUCUGUCCUCCUUCAAAUUGGCAUCAUCUGCGUGGUAAAGGAGUAUGGAUCCAGACUUUGACUCGAAUUCUUUCAAUGUAUUAGACCCAAGGUGCUCAUUUUGUUCAGUAAAAGCAUCAGGACUAACAGCAGGUCCCAAAAUGUCCCUGGGGUCCUUUCUUGCCUCCGUGAAGCAUGCAAGCUGCACAUUCCGGGCAAAUGACAUAAUUCAAGAAGCCAGCAUCAAUAUAUUAGGUAAAUAAAUACAUCGGCGGAGGUAGGCUGUACACCAAAUUAUGAGCCUUGUGGGGCUUGCUUGAGUAUCAUUCGAUGCAGGUGAAACUGGCAUAGCUUAAAAAGUUUUUUACGUUAAUUUAGGACCUUUAAUUUCUUGCUCCUCAACCUUACCCAUUAUACCAAACCUUCUUAGCCUACCUCUACCUGUAUAAUGGAAAUAUUGGAGAUGAAUUCCUCUAACUAAUAAAAGUAAAGUGUCGAAAGUCGAGUUACAGUGACAUUUAAGUUUCGUACAGCCCACAUUGGAAUGUUUGACAGGGAAGCUUUAUGACCAUAGAACUAGAAAGCCACCAAGUCAGCUUUGCUCUCCUUAAUCAGAAGAGUUUCCAAACCCUCGGCGGGGAUGGUUAGAGUUGAGGAUAAAUGUGUGAAAGCAAAGAAGUUUUCCAAGUGCAUAGCUUUAAUUGAGAGGAUCAUAAUAAUGAUGAGCAAUUAACGGAUUUAAGUGUGUCUAACAAGCAAAGAAUUAUCUCUUAUGAACUCGAAUAGAGCACUGAUGUUUGAGAAAUCUUACCAGGGCAAUUGAAAAGAACGCAACGAGGGCAAUGAUAGGGAUAUAAUUAUGCAUUUUAUUUGUGGUUAUUUGGUCUUAAUUUUGGCAGUUUAGUAUGCAAAGUAUUGGAUUUCUGCUCAUAAUUAGUAUUUGUGUUAAUUACAGGCAAUUAGUGUUGAAAGUGACAAAAGGGAGGCAAAAUCCAGAAGACUCUUGCUUCUAAGGCGUGCCCACGCCAGAUAACGCGGAGCUGCGUGAUAAGGACGAAGUAUGCGAUCCUACUCCUUGGAGGCUGCCGCAAUUCUUGGGAAGUGAUGGUAGCUACGUGGGAUCAGGAAGUUUUUCCAAAGAGGACUUUUGGCAACAAUCCAAUGAGGGAAUUAAGGAAAGAAUUCGUUUGAGAAACUAACUUCUUAUAUUGGCUAGGAAAAAGACGGCGGGCAGCACUACAAAUUGGGGGGGAUUGCAAUAGACUAGGGAAAUCUUUUCAUUCUUGUGUUUUUUUCCUUUUACUUCUCCACGCAAGCUUUAGACAAGCCGCCACACCCUUUUACUUCUUCAAAGACAAAAUUACUUGGAAGCUUGGAAUCGAAUAAUGAUUAUGCAGCAAGGCUAGUUCUUUUAUCUAGUUGAGAAAUAAAUCAAGGAUUGGAGCACCAUAACUGUGAGAUCGUUUUAAUUGUUUUAUUUUUAAUUUAUAUGUUCAUGGGUAUUUGAUUAUUCUAUAUUUUUCCUUGAGUUAUUAUUGUUUAGAUUUAUUGGAUAGUUAGGCCUGUUAUUCGAUUGUCUAAAUAAUUGAUAGCCAAUUAAGAUGUUGGCGCGUAGCCUUUAAACAUCUUGAUUAGUGGCAAACGAGACAACUUCACCGCCUCGCACGCGGUCUAAUUUGGAUCAUGGGAAUAAUUAAUCUAGCCUAAAUAAACCCGCAUGUGUGUUUGUCAUCUAGAAUUGGGUCUUUCUAAUUCCUAAUGCUGUGGCUACAUUAAAUCCUGUGAGCGUUUCUGGGGUUGUCUAGUCACAAGAGGGUAGUUUAUGAGCGCCUCUUGACUACCAUAAAAUUAAGGAAAGAUUGGUGGUUGGGCGCGUCGCUUGACCACUAUAACCAGUUUAUUCGUGAGUAUAUGAAUUGUUCCGUGUAUCUGUGAUCAGUUGUGUGCUUCGGUGCCAAGAUUAAUUCCUUGACUAGGUUGUUUUGAUUAAUUGUUAUUUGUGUAAUUUGGUUCCUGCUAUCUUACUCAACUUUAAAUUUCAAUUUUUAUUCCUUUUUAAUUAGUUGGUACUACUGCUAAAAAUCCCCCCCAUUUUCCUGUGUGAUUUGCCUACCUGUUCCCUGAGGAGACGACCCUACUCACCAGUAUAUUCAUUCAGUUUUGGUAGUAGGUCUAAUAUAAAUUUUAUUUUUGGUGGUUUGACACCCACCAGGCAACAGAUGAACGCAUCCUGUCUUUGAAGUUUGAACAGCUCAAAAUGAAACUUUGAUGGUGUAAAAACUCUUGGGGCUAAGGCUAUUUAUACAAGAGGAUGGCCAGGUGAAGCUAGCAAGACUAUAGCAUGGAUUAGAGAAGUUACUGCCCUCGUACACCAAUCCACAAAUUACCAACAACUAGUGUGAAUACCCGUGCUACGCACGGUACUUACAUUAUUAAAAAAAAAUUACAAUCUAUGGAAGAAUUUAAAAAUAGUAAAAUAUUAUAAUCACGGGCAUAUGAAAGUAUAUUUUAAAAAAUGAAACUUUGUAACAAUAGUUCAAUAUAUGAUAAAAACAUCUCCAUUAUUAUAAACGAUCAUUUCGAUGAAGGUUGGAUCCUGAAAAAAAAAUAGAAAUCUAUAUCAUAAAUUGAGCGACAUAUGGGUCCAAUUAAAUAUAAUUGAAUAUUUAAUUUGAUAAGUAAAUGAAAUACUUACAGACAUUUUGCCUUUGAUUUGAUAAUCUUCUACGAAAGUGUGAACAUUCUUCACACCAAUCAACCUUGAGUACGAACGCCAGUAUUGGGGGUUUAAUUAACUCUGUUGUUUUUUGUGGAGUUCGCACUAUGAAUGAGAAUGCACGAUUUUUGCAUGAAUUAAUGUGUUGGUCGAACAAUGCACCUCCAUUUUUCUGACAAUGAAAAGCAUACAUAGUUCAAAAUUAUCUUUUAUUUUAGACAGUUUGUAAAUAAUAUUGUGUAAAAAAAUAUACAUAUAAAUAAUGUAUACCUUUGUUUUUAAAUCUCUAAGAUAAGAAGCAUCACAACGAAACAUGAAUCGUGCAUGUCUGUCUUGAAGCGCGAGGUAUAGGCUACCACUGGAAUCUCUAACUUCUAUGUUAACAUUAUAUCUGUUAAGAAAAAACUGUGAUGGAUGAUGCAACAAAUUAUAUUAAAAUUCAAAAUAUCUGAAAAUAAUUACCUGACAAUAGUGUCGACUACGUCAUUACAAUAGAUACACACUAUUUUUGUAAAAUGAGAUUGACAUGGUUGGCCACAAUUUUUGCAUAACUCAUGGAACAUAUUGUCUAGGUUGAUACUUUGAAUGUAAGCAAGUAUCCGAAAAUAUUUAACCUAAAACCAUCCAAAGAAUGUAUAGAUUACAAUUAUUAAUUUGAAACUACAUGUAAAUACCUGUUCAUUACUUAAUUAUUUGAGAGGAUGUGUACCGUGGGGAUAACAGCAUAUUCGGAUAUCCAUAUUCUCUUAGCAUUUGAUAUCAACAAUGCUUGGGAUAUUGUAAAAUUGCACGACCGCAACCACGUCACUAAUUUCUGAGCACAUUUAUCAUUUUCAAACCUGCAUAUUUUUCAAAUACAUAUUCGUAAGGGUAUGAAAUAUUUUUAGUAAUUUAAUAUUUUGGUAUUUGUAAAACUUACCAACUGUGUAGGUAUUGAGCAAAAUCCAAGUAGUGAUUGAUAUACAAUUUGCUUGCUCGAAUAGUAUAGAGUGACGGUCCUGCACAAUAUGAUUUAUUUAUUGAUAAAGUAUAAAAUUUGAAUAAAAUAAAGUGAAAAUAAAUUGAAUUACCUUUAUAAUUUCUCACACAAAUACCACAGGCUAGCAAAACAUUAUUUUUUGUAACAGUUUGACGCAAGUGUUCACCAUCAUCAGUUGCAAAUUUAUCACACAAAGUCAACCGAACUACUGUCAAACUUCAUUUAGACAAUUUUGGUAAGUAUUUUAUCAAAAUUUGUAGAAUAUAAAAUAUUUUAAAGAUAUUAAAUCUAGUAACUAACCUUUUGUCAACUAAAAGUAUGUCACACUUAGUUUUGUCAUUGAUAGACGUUUGAUAGUGUGAACCAACGGAUACAACUAAACCAACUACAUCUGCAAAAGAUCAAAAAAUAGAAGUAAUACCAGUUCAAAUAUACAACUUAAACAGAAGUAUGGCUAAUUAUGAAUGAAAUACCUAUCAAUUGCACAUCAUUGUCCAUGUGCUAUUCUGUAUCUCUUAGUUUGACCAGAUUAAACUUGAAACGGGGUUUGGUUCCACAAUCAUCUAAAAUAUUCACUAUCUUCGUAUCGUUUCCAAACGAUAAUUGGUACUGAUGUGGUGCAAGCCGAUAUUGAAGAUCUGCAGGAAUUACAUAUAUAUUUUGAAACCAGUAUACCUUGCCUUCAUGGAGAUGAUCUGCGAAAAUGUUUAUCAUAUUACUGCCUCUUAUAACUCCUUGCAUGACAAAUUUCUGAUAGUUUUCAACAGAUUAGUAAAUAUUCAAUAUUCAAUAUAAUAAUUAACAUACACUCUUAAUUAUUACCUGAUCAUCUAUAAAAAGCAUCUUGAUACAUCCCGAACGUUAAAGCACUCCAUAUAUGGUCAUAUCUAUUAAUCGAAACAAUCUAACCUUUACAUUCCAUCCGUAUCCGCAAGGAUCCAGAUAGAGUAAAGGUGUAUAUCGAAUAUCUGUAAAUUAUUAUAAUAUAGCAUGAAGGUUAAUUAUUUAAGCGCUAUAUUUGAUACAGCAAGUAACACAAAUUCAAAGAAAUACCAAUAAAAUGCCAAAGUAUGAAGCAUAUAUAGUACAUAUGGUCUGAUGUAAAUAUACUAUUUUUGUAAACAAAGCGAUGUCCAGAAUUUAUCAAAGGGAGUCAAAAAUCUCACGAUACACAAUAUUUUUUGUGUAAUCCCAUGGAUCAUCAUCUCUAUUAACAAUGAGUAUUUUCAAUCCAUCUGGCGAAGUAGCACGGGACAGAGCAACAUAAAGUUGACCAUGUGAAAACACAGGUUCAGGAAGGUAAACGCCAACAUUUUUCAAGGUUUGGCCUUGACUUUUGUUGAUAGUCAUUGCAAAUGCCAAUUUCACAGGAAAUUGUCUCCUUUUAAUUGGAAAAUGAGUCUGUGUACUCUGUGGUGUUAAAGAGAUCCGAUAUUGUUCACCGUGCACUAUCUUCGUAUCCUUUUAAAUAUUUUGUAAUCUUUGUUGAUGAUUUUUCCAGAGUUACAUGGCUUUAUUUAAUGAAAAAUCGUUCAGAAUUAUAUUCCAUUUUUUGUGCAUUUGUUACAGAAAUAAAGAAUCAAUUUGGUGUGCCUGUACGUAUACUUCGCAGUGAUAAUGCGAAAGAAUAUUUUUCCACUCCUUUUGAUAUCUUUAUGACUAAGUCCGGUAUCCUUCAUCAAUCCUCUUGUCCUCACACUCCACAACAGAAUGGAGUUGCCGAAAGAAAAAUUGGACAUUUAAUUGAAGUUGCUCGGACACUUUUGUUGCACAUGAAUGUGCCCAAACAAUUUUGGAGUGAUGCAGUUCUAACUGCAUGUUAUUUAAUUAAUCGCAUGCCAUCCAAUAUUUUUGAAGGCCAAUUACCUCACUCCAUUCUUUUUCGUCAUGAAUCUGUGUUUAAAUUGCCUUCUCGUAUUUUUGGAUGUGUGUGCUUUGUUCAUCAUCUUGCUCCCGGAGUGGAUAAAUUAGAUUCUCGUGCUAUUAAGUGUAUUUUUUUAGGAUACACACGAGCGCAAAAAGGGUGCGAUCAUACCAGCACUAAUGCACCGGAUCCCAUCAGAACUCCGAAGUUAAGCGUGCUUGGGCGAGAGUAUUACUAGGAUGGGUGACCCCCUGGGAAGUCCUCGUGUUGAAGAACUUGAUUCAGCUUUGUCAAUGGUAUCAGAGCAAAAGUCCUAGGGUUAGGGUUAAACAUCUAGCAAAAGUUUUGGCCAUCGCGACUGUUCACGCGAUACUGUUCAUCGCGACUGUUCACGCGGGGGGGCUGUUCACUGUUCAUCGGUACUGUUCACGCAGCGCUGUUCGCUGUUCACGGCACUGUUCACGCGGCACUGUUCACUGUUCACGCACUGUUCAUCUCGAGUUUUGACCCUUCAUUUGGUUUGGAGUGCUAUUCGCUAUGUCUGAAAGUCUAUCAAAAGGUAUUGUGACGUCUACUAAUAUUAUGCCAAUGGUGAUGUCUCAAAUCACAAAUUGGAAGUUGAAUGACACUAAUUAUCAACAGUGGUCAAAAGCCGUUAAGAUUUAUCUGACAGGCUUAGGAAAGGAACGAUAUCUCACAGAUGACUCUCCUACGGAGGACAACAAGAAACUAAUGUGGAUUCAAGAGGAUGCCCAAAUUCUUGGAGCAAUAUGGAAUUCUAUGGAGCCACGAAUUGCCUACAUGUGUUCUCAUUGUGAGACAACAAAAGAAGUUUGGGAUUAUGUCCGGUUAUUAUACUGUAGUAAUCUUUCACGGAUGUAUGAUAUUUCUUUGGAGUAUUUUCAGUUGCAACAAGAUAACAAAACAGUAACUGAAUACUUUGCUGAUCUUAAGCGAGUAUCAGAAGAAUUAAAUGCCGUAAUGCCUCUCUCAAGUGAUAUUACAGUUAUGCAGAGGCAAAGAGAACAAAUGCUUGUGCUCAAAUUCUUGGCCGGUCUCAAGCCAGAAUUUGAACCAAUCAAAUCUCAAAUUUUAGCAGGUGAACAAUUACCAUCCUUUACAGAGGCGUAUGCUCGGGUCUUACGUUCUGCAUCUAAGGACACUGCACAGGGUGAUGGUGCUCUAAUUAAUGACAAAUCUGCUUUAGUUGCUAACAAUGGUCGGAUAGAGCAACUUAACUUGGGACGUGGCUCUCGUGGAGGAAGAAGUAGAGGAGGUCGUGGGGGUCAUGGAGGUCGAGGCACCCGUGAGUGUACUCAUUGUGGUUUGAAGAAUCACACUCAUGAUACUUGUUGGGAUUUACAUGGAAAACCACCUCGGUUUGCUAAUGCAGUUACCAUUGACCAAGCUGAAUCAAGUUCUUAAGUGAAAUUGCUGAAACCUUUCCUUCACCAACAGACAGCAGCCAAUUUGCAAAAUCCAUCAAUUGCUGACGCGUAUUUUCAGGAAGACGUAAAUUCAUUACACGCAUAUUUAUUUUAAGAUGCAGAACUCUACAGUGAUCCCAAAUCAUUGACUCUUUUAUUGUAGCUGAUACUGUUGCUUCUCUCCUACCUUUAGAAACAAUCGGUAAUAUUUGUCGAAAAUCACCGCCCAAAACAACCAAUUUUCCUCCGAAAAUACGAUCCUCAGAAGCAUUUUCACUCAACUUUAAGAUAUCCUUUAAAGUUCUAUCCACCGCUUCAAAAUCAUGCCGAUGUGCCAUUGGAGUUUCGUCCCAAAUUAUCAAAGAUGUCUCCCUAAUUAAUUUAGCCAAGUCAGAAUUUGUAUUGAUUGAACAACUUGAUGACUCAUCCAAAUUAAUAGGAAUUUUGAAACGUGAAUGCGCUGUUCUUCCACCCGGUAAGAGUAUUGCAGCAAUGCCUGAUGAUGCAACUGAAAGAACAAUUUUUCUCUGCGAUCUGACUCGAGCAAUCAAUGUUCUCCAUAAAUAAGUUUUACCCGUUCCACCACUUCCAUACACAAAAAAUAGUCCUCCGUGAUUAUGUGUGUAUGAUUCCAUAAUAAGCUCAUAUGCUUUCAAUUGAUCCUCAUUCAAACCAGCAUAUAAAUUAUCAAAUAAUUGCUGCUCCGAUGUAAAAUCGUAAUCGAGCUCUUCUCUUAUAAGUCUGUUCAUGGAAAACUGAGCAUUUUCAAAUGACGGCAAUGGCAUUGGAGGAAAAUCUCGUAAAGAUCGACCAUUUUUGUUCAAAAUGAGUUCGAGUUCAAUUAAUCCCAAAUUUUGUAACUCACCAUCAUCUAUGCGUAUCUGAGAGUUUCCCAUAUCCCUUCUGAUCUGAUAUUGCAAAUCAUCUGUCAUACUUUUCCAGUGACGCUGCCAUAUAGCAUAAGGGUUAGUUACCUCAGAAUGCAUAAGUAUUGUACAAUACAUGCUGCGUAAUUUUCUGGCAGAUGCCCAUGUAGAUGCUUCAGCCAAAGCUUCAUUCCACUCAUUAUCAUCAUCCAGAAGACCAAGUGCUGCACAUGCAGCUUUGAAUGUUGGAUGCACAACUCCAUCAAUAGUUCUCAAAUGUUCAAAACUUUAUGCACCACGAAUUUUAUUCAGUAACAUUCUCAAAUAGUAUCGCUCACCGGAAUGAGGAUGUGCAUAUGGUAGCCUUCCGAUACACCUACCUUGCAAUCUGGACUCCCAUUGACGUUUAUUUUGCUUCCAAGUCCACUUACUCGGAAACUCCACAAACGUCAAGUUUCUAGCUGGAACAUGGCUCUGAUUUAUUUCAAACCAUUUCGUCAGCAUCGUGUCAUGUAUGUGAUCAUGAUCAAGAACGUCAUAAAGAUGAUUAUCAUCAUUAAAUAUCACAAAUUGAUGAUCAGGAAGAUGAUACUGCAAUCUAAUCACGGAUGGAUACUGCCUCUGCAUUUCGAAAUCAAAUAUCUUCCACCAUGACUCAAUUAGCGAUAAAUAUCGACAAUCUAAGUACUGUUUAAUCUCAUCAACGCUUCUCUAACGACGAUGACCACUUUCAUUUGCAAGUACAACGUUAUUCUCAAUCUGAACAUUUGCUCUAUCAACCCCCUUACUCAUGUACUUGUACAGAUAUUUAGUGAUUUCUGGACGUGCAACUUUGGUCACAUUAAUAUGACCAUCAAAUAUCACAAUCAAAUCUCGAUUGUAAGAAACAACCCAUCUGUUGUCAAAUGUAAAACCAUUAAUAGUUACCCUCUUACUUGGAUCAUCUCUACGUUUGUAUGAUACAAAUCCAUCUUCAUCGAUAGUGGUUUCACUACAAAAUCUCUUUGGAUAGUGUUUAGAGCACUUUCCGUUCACCAUACACGGAGCAUUUGGAUAAGCAUUACCACAGGGUCCGUGUAACAUGCACCUGAUGACCGUAUCAUAAGCUAGUGGAUCAGCAUUUUUGUCAGGUAUUUCGGCACAAAUGAUUUCAUCAAUAUGCUCUGUAGUAAGGGGCUUAUCUUCCGGAGCUAAUGUCAGAGUGAUAUGAGUAUGUGGUAAACCACGUUUUUGGAAUUCAAUGACAGAGAUGUCUGCAUAUUAUGGAAGUAAUCUUAGUGUGUGGCAGAAUAGGGAAUCAAAAAAGAAAAUAAUGAUUUGAAUAAAGUAAAAUUUUUACCUGCAAGCACUUUUCCAAAUAGUUGAGUAUUUUUUAAAACAUCCAUCAACUUUUUUUGUCUUAUCCGAAAAACUCGAGCCGUAAUAUCGGGUCUGUCCUCAACUUUCUGUCCCGAUAUUCUUGUCAACUCUUGUUUAAUUUUUGGUCAACUGGGAUUGCAAGUAAACGUAAUGAAAAGAUCUGGAUUUCCAAUUGUCCUACAGAUUGCCAUUGCGUCCUGAAAAUGUUGUAUCAUAUUUCGGGAUCCACCCGAAAACGAAGAUGGUAGAACAAAUCUCCUUCCAACAGCUGAUGCAUCUGUAUCUCCAGCAAGUACAGCAUCUGCUAAACCUUGAUAUACAUCAGCACAUAAUAGAGAUUGAUGGCUUUUCAUAAAAUUCAAUCUGUAGUGCUCAAUAGCUGCAUAACAAUCAACAAUGAAUUGUUGAAAUAGUUUGGCACCUUUCAAAAGUGUGUGGCCUUCAUUUUGUCGAAAUUGUAUACGAUACGCAUAGAAUUCACGCAUCGACACAAAUUCUCUCUUCCUAAUGGCAGAGGGUGAAAAUCUUAUUGUGCAAUGCCAUCCGUCUGUUCCAUAUGGAAAUAGUAAAGGGUAUUGAAGUGGCAUGUAUGAUGGAUGUGUCUCACUGAUUCUUUUCAAAUUUCCAUCUCGAGUGACAAGCACAAUAUCGCGGUGUGUGACAUGACCAGUAUCUUCACCGACAAUCAAAGCAGCAACUUUAUUUGCAGUUGGUUGGAUAUAUUGUCUGUCACCUCGAGCACUAAUUAUUUGUACUUGCAGAUUGGCAACAUUUUGAUUUCGAAGCAUGUCUCUUGCACUUCGAAAAACUUGUACGUAUGGAUUUAUUUCGUCUAGCAUAUUUUUCAAUCCUUCAACUAUUGAUGCAUCAAUUCCAAUUGGAUUGCCAUCAUGACUGUUCAGAAGAUUCAUACGAUUUUGCAACUCAUUAUCAGUGUCAUGGAUGUAUAAUUGUAUGAAUUUACCUAAUGCUCCAAAAGGUGGCAAAAGCGAUCCGAUUAGAUGAUAAUUUUCUCCACUAAUUCGAAAUGAAUAUGGUCCGGCAGAAUUGACUAUAGAAUGAUCUACUUUGCCUCCCAUGGAUGUAAACCCGAAUAGUGCAUUUAGCAAUCGAAUCUUCUCUUUCAGUGUUGGAGUGGUAAAUACAUGUUGUAAAACUUGGGGAGUUUGAGGCAAUAACGGCAAAACAACAUCGCCAUCUUGACAACAUAAAUUGAAUCUUGGAUUUUGUUUUGUACUACUUUGAAUUCUUUCUUCCACCCACAUUAGAGAUUGACAUUUCUGACAGAUUACUGUUCCUGGACCAAAUGUCCAUCUUCUUGUAAUUCGACGUCGUCGUCGCCUUCGGCCUAUUUGAUCUAAUUGAUUGAUGAAAUAAGUAUAAUAAGGUACAUACCUAAAACUGUCACUAUAUGUAAGGUAUAAAGCACAUAAUAUUUGUUUGCCCAAGAACAUAUAGCAAGAAAUAUUAAUUAUGAAAAAUUGAAUGCACAUGAUAUUUGUAUGCCCAAGAACAUAUAGCAAGAAAUAUGAAUUAUGAAAAAUUGAGAAAAGUAUAAAGCACAUAAUAUUUGUAUGCCCAAGAACAUGUAGCAAGAAAUAUUAAUUAUGGUAUUAAUUAUGGUAACAUGAGAAAAGUAUAAAGCACAUAAUAAUUGUAUGCCCAAGAACAUACAGCAAGAAAUAUUAAUUAUGAAAAAUUGAGAAAAGUAUAAAGCACAUGAUAUUUGUAUGCCCAAUAACAUAUAGCAAGAAAUAUGAAUUAUGGAAAAUUGAGAAAAGUAUAAAGCACAUAAUAUUUGUAUGCCCAAGAACAUGUAGCAAGAAAUAUUAAUUAUGGUAUUAAUUAUGAAAAAUUGAGAAAAGUAUAAAGCACAUAAUAAUUGUAUGCCCAAGAACAUAUAGCAAGAAAUAUUAAUUAUGGUUACAUGAGAAAAAUAUUAGUAGAUUACCGAUUUGUUCUGCUCCAGCUGCGUUAAUAGGCACAAUGUCUUGUGUAGCAGGAACAAAUUCUUCAGGUGAGCCUGUUUGUAUAAUGGUUUUUUAGAAGACAAAUGGAAAAAAUGAAUUGGAAGAAAUUGAAUUGCAUAAAUAAUAAUUGAUUACUUAGUCAAGAUACAUGAGAAAACUUGGACUUACUAUCAUCAGGACCAUUAGCUGAUGAUGUUGGUGUAAUAGGAACUUCAGUAGUUGGUGAGUCAUUAUGCAAGUCAUCUAUCAUUAUGUAAUAUAGAAAGUUAAUAUAAUAAUGUAGCACGUUAAAAAAAUUAAUGAUUAAGCAUGAAUUUUAAAUUGUGCAUAAAUUUGGAGUUACCAUGAUCAUGGAGAAUUGGGGCUGCGGUCGAUGGAUGUUGAAGUUGAAAAGAUGUUGAAUAAUCAUUUGUUUGAUCUAAAAGUAUAUUAAAAUAAUUGUAUUAAAAGACGUAUUAAAUUAAGUUACAAUUAUUAAUGUAAAACUCAUAAAAAUGUAAUAAUAUAAUAUAUUAUAUGAAUAUUAUGAAUGAGCAUGAGUGGUCUGAUGUAAAACUUUAGCAAGAUCUGAUAAACAUAACAAUAUUUGUUAACACAAAUUACGUUGUGUGCAAAGAUUAGAAAAAUCGCAAAGAAGUAUUUUAGUUUGAAAAAAUAUUUUUUAAUUAAUGAAUGGUAAUAUGUGUAUUUAAUAGUAAGAUUUGAGAAAAUCCAUCCUUAAUUUGGUAAUGUUUCUGAUAGUAGUUGGUAAUAUUUUAUGUUUGAGACAUUAUUUAGUGGGUGAACUCGAUGUGAAAUGUGAAGCAUGAUUUCGACCAUAUGAGUUUUGAGUCACUAUAUUUUUUAUGAUAUGUAAUUAAACAUUUAGAAUAAUAAAAUAUAUUUUUUAUUAUGUUAAUUAUUGCCUCAAACAAAUUGUCAAUUUUGGUAGUAAAAAUGACAAUAUAUUUAUGUGAACCUUUGAUAUUAGAUAAGAUUGUAGUGAUCCUAUUCAUUAUGAUUGACCACUGCAUAUGCAAUAAUAGGUUUUAGUACUAUUUGUUAACAUGUAACAUAUUAACAAAGCCAUUGGGGAGCUUUCGGUGGCAUUUAUUAAAGUGCUUAUAAACAAUUGGUACUAUUUCCACAUUCUUAUAAACAAUGAAAACAACAAUAAUAUUAUAAUAUUCGGAAUAUUAUUAAUACUUAGAAGUACAAUAAUAAUCCCAAUAAUAUUCCCAAAUUUUAAAGAAUACAUAAUACCUAAAUUUCUAACUUGAUUCUUAUAAACAAUGAAAACAACAAUAAUAAUAUAAUAUUGGGAAUAUUAUUAAUAAUUGAAAUAACAAUGGAAACACCAAUAUUUAAAGAAUAAGUACCAUAACUUCUAGCUUGAUUCUUAUAAACAAUGGAAACAGCAAUAAUAUUAUAAUAUUGGGAAUAUUAUUAAUAAUUGCAAUUAUAAUGAAAAUGGCAAUAUAUAAAGAAUAGAUAAUACAAGCUUGAUUCUUAUAAACAAUGAAAACAAUAAUAAUAUUAUAAUAUUAGAAAUAUUAUUAAUAAUUGUAAGUAUAAUGAAAAUACCAAUAUUUAAAGAAUAAAUAGUGGCGAAACUUCUAACUUGAUUCUUAUAAACAAUGGAAACCAUCUAAUUCUGGUUUGUGCCCAUGCAUAGCACAAUCAAGAUGUGACAUGAAUUUUAAUUUUUUUUAGAACCUCAUUCCUAGGAUCCAUCGACUACAACACACACACAAGCUGUUGAGACAAUUUUGCGACUAAAUAUAUAACUAAGGUUCGAGUAUGUUGGGGGAUUCAUUUUAUUUGAUGCUUAACAAAUAUAGGAUUUUUUCCAGAGUUCGAAAUUUUUUUUAAAAAAAAAAUAUAUAUAUAUAUAUAUAUGUAAGAUUUUAUCCGGAGAGAGUUUAGACACGGCAUGAGUUGGUGCUUGCCACAGGCCACUUGACGAAAAUGAAGGCAAGAAGACAGGAAAUGGCACUAACCCAGCGUCGAUCACAGCCACGGGCCAAAUAGAGACAUGCAAUCAUAAUCAUACGUAGCCCUGAACUGUACAUUGUAGAUUACUAAUGAAACUUGGACAUAGUUGCAUGACUGUCAACCGAAUUCCCAGCUUUUAAGUUUUCAAGUAAUAUUGACUCUUUAUUACAUGGUGAAGCGUCCUUUCUUGCUCCAGGCACAAACGGGGUACUGCCAAUUGGUAGUUCUCUUAAUCUGCCAAUUGGCUCAAGUAUACUUUACUGGCUCAAUCCUACUCCAGUAAUAAUAUUAUAAUAUAGGAAAUUUUAUUAAUAAUCUAAAUUGAUUCUUAUAAACAAUGACAACAGUAAGAAUAUUAUAAUAUGGGGAAUAUUGUUAGGAAAUUUUAUUAAUAAUUUUAAUUAAAAUGAAAUUUCUAAAUUGAUUCUUUUUUUCUUUUUUUCUUUUUUUGUAAAAAGUAGGUUUUAUUCAACUUGAACCGUGCGGAAGCAUACAAAACCCAGUCCCGGGCAAAUUAAGCUAUAACAUAAGGAAUCCCAAGGCUAUCUGAACGUAGAAUACGCCGACUCCUAUGUGGAAGUAACUCUUCCUCGGUGUACACCAAAUCUUGGCCCAGCUGCAAAGACGCUAGAGAAUCUGCCACCAUAUUAGCUUGCCGAUAGACGUGGCAAAGAGACGCCCCCAAUUCUGUCAUUAAGCCUCGUAUCUUCCUCAGAACGUUACAUACCGGCCAGCGUGCCAAAGCUCCCGAAUUGACCAUCUGGACGAGCGCCCCAGAGCCGCUCUCAACCAUAAUGCCAGUCAAUUGGCUGUCUCGACAUAGGUCUAACCCAGUCAUCAAUGCCAGGGCAUCUGCGUGAACCACUCCAACCUCCCCAAACUCCUUGUAAAAUGCAAAGAUCACCGUGCCCUCGCUCGACCGGACCACGCCGCCACCGAAUGCCCCGGAUGUUCCGACACUGGCAGCUGUAUUCAAUUUCAGAUACGGCAUGGGGGGCUUGGCCCAUGCUACAAGGAGUGGCCGCUUCACCGCCCCCGUUCCAUGAGUCCCUCUAGCCCAAAUACAGUCCCCGUCGCCCCGAAAUGACUGCCCCAAAUUCCGUGCACGCCCUAGGAGUUCAAUGAAAUUGCCCACUUGCCAUAUAACCUGGUCCGCAUUCAUCCUCCCCCCCUCAAACCUAGCGUGGUUCCUCGCCUUCCAAAUAAACCACAGGGACGCAACCGGAACUAAUACCCGAACAUGGUUCUCGCUCACCAUCGGGUGGGACAGAAACCACGACAUCAGUACAGAGGAUAUCCCCUCUUCCCCCCCCCCCGCAACAGCCCGAACUGUUGACCAAAGUGACCCCAAACGGUAGCUGCCACUGGACCGAUCACAAAAAGAUGCUCCGCAGUUUCGCUCGCCCCUUCGCAGCAAGAACACCUCGACCCCAACUUUACGCCCUUUCGCUGCAACUGAACGUCUAAAGGAAUAUAAAUAAUGGAAACAGUAAUAAUAUAUAAUAUGGGGAAUAUUGUUAAUAAUGGUAACUACAAUGAAAAUCAUAAAUGUUUAAAGAAUAAAUAGUACCAAAACUUAUAAACAAUAGGAACAACAAUCAUAUUAUAAUAUUGGAAAUAUUAGUAAUAAUUGAAAUUAUAAUUGUAUUAAAAUACGUAUUAAAUUAAGUUACAAAUUUCUAGCUAAUUAUUCCUUCAGCCAAUGUUGGUAUAUAUUUCGAAGUUAACUAUAUAACCAUAUAACCCUGAUAGGUAACAGAACAGAACAUAACCAACAGUUGAUCAUCCCUUCAGCCAAAGUUUAUAUAUACGAAAAGAGUUUCCUGUCCACUGGACUCGCACAAUCAGAUCAUCAUUCACACCAUAAGCUGAAUAAGAUAAACAAACUUUAUAUACACAUCCAUUGUGGCCAUAUACUUCCAAAUCAGCCAUUGAACAUUACCUCAAAAGCAAGGAUCUUUAAAGUAAU
rnacentral:lncRNA from 1 species